rnacentral:lncRNA from 1 species
AACUAAAUUUUAGUUUACUUAUAGCAAUGCUGGUAUAGCAAACAGUAUCUUGGUUCUCCAUUCACUCAUCUCUCUUUUUUUUUUUUUUUUUUUUUUUUUUUUGAGACGGAGUCUUGCUGUUGCCCAGGCUGGAGUGCCCUGGCGCGAUCUCGGCUCACUGCAGGCUCCGCCCCUGGGGUUCACGCCAUUUUCCUGCCUCAGCCUCCCCAGUAGCUGGGACUACAGGAGCCCGCCACCUCGCCCGGCUAAUUUUUUGUAUUUUUAGUAGAGACGGGGUUUCACCGUGUUAGCCAGGAUGGUCUUGAUCUCCUGACCUCGUGAUCCGCGCGCCUCGGUCUCCCAAAAUGCUGGGAUUACAGGCGUGUGCCACCGCGCCUGGCCUCAUCUCUUAAUUCGAGUAAUUUUACAUAAGCAACAAUGGGGUAAGGAGGAGAAAAGAAAGAAGGAAAAAUUGGAAAGAUAAAUGGGGUCUUUCCAGUGAAGGCUCAAUUUUCCUACAUAAUUAAGAGUUUGGAAUUCGGGCAAUAUCAAGAACCACAUCUGUCCUGAAAUCAAUUAUCUCUGUUUGAAACACAAGAAAUAAGAAGACCAUUUUGAGAAGAACAGAGAGUAGCCUUAAGAAAAUCCCUGUCGCAAGCACUCUGGGAUUUGGACUCAAAUGCUAAUUAUACAGAACCACUUGGGUGCCCAGCUGCUGUCCAUUCUCUACACUUAUCCCACCUGAUGGAAGGCUGUUAAGAAAAACAUCACUGCAAUGCCUAAUAAACAGACAUGGGUCCCAGACCCAAUAAGAGUGAAACCAUCCCCCUAUUUAAAUGAAAUUAUGGCUGAUGAGAAAGACAAAUUAAUUUCUCUGUCCCUAGUAUUACACAAAACUUUGGAUGCUGCCAUUGUUACAAUUUUAUUUUCCCCAGGAGCUCAGAGUCCCACCUUCAUUCUUUUUGUUUAAUGCUUAAGCUUGCCUGUCCACCUAUGGAAGACUAGAAUGAGCAAAGACCAUGUAUUCAAUGAUCUGUAAAUCUAACAGGAAACAAUAUAAUAAAUAUAUUGUGUUUGCUAACCAAAUCUGUGAAUGAUUAGAUCGACUGGUUAAUGAUUAGAUGGAUUAACACAUCAUUUCUAUUUUCUCUCUCCUCCCCUACUUCUUGUUUUAAUGAUACCUUCCAAGUUUUAUUUCUCCAAGCCUAACCCCUUACAUAAUACAAGAGGACAACAGUUUGCAAAAUAAAUAUCUGUUGGCCCUAACUGGUAAAUACUGAAAUAGAUUUCAAGUAAUGUGAGUGUUUUUGAAACCACCUAAAUCUGUAAGCCACCCUGCAAGGAACAAGGGUAGCAAAGUGAAUAAGCCAGACAUGUAAAAAUAAAGAUGACAAAAUGGAAGGCAAUUAAUGCCUGUAAUGGAGGUGGGGAAGGGGGGAAUGACAAGUUAAUAAGAAAUUUAUUUUUAAAUGCUAUCAUCUGCCAUAAAAUAUCCAUGCUUAUUUUAGAAAAUAUGUAAAAUGUUUAAGAAUUAAACAUCUUUAAAAAAAUCACAUGAACUCAUCACCCUGCAACAAAACACACACAGAUGAGUGCACACACUUAAACACACAUUAAUUUUCAAUUAGUAUAUAAAGUUAAUAUCCUGCUAAGUACAAGAUACUAUAUCAUGAGCACUUUGUCUC